rnacentral:rRNA from 1 species
AGCGAACGCUGGCGGCAGGCCUAACACAUGCAAGUCGAACGCGUGUAGCAAUACACGAGUGGCAGACGGGUGAGUAACACGUGGGAACGUACCUUUCGGUUCGGAAUAACUCAGGGAAACUUGUGCUAAUACCGGAUACGCCUUUACGGGGAAAGAUUUAUCGCCGAAAGAUCGGCCCGCGUCUGAUUAGCUUGUUGGUGAGGUAACGGCUCACCAAGGCGACGAUCAGUAGCNGGUCUGAGAGGAUGAUCAGCCACAUUGGGACUGAGACACGGCCCAAACUCCUACGGGAGGCAGCAGUGGGGAAUAUUGGACAAUGGGCGAAAGCCUGAUCCAGCCAUGCCGCGUGAGUGAUG